GGAGGAAAAGAAACCAACAGGGAUUCCCCUAGUAACGGCGAGUGAAGCGGGAACAGCUCAAAUUUGAAAUCUGGCCCUUGGGUCCGAGUUGUAAUUUGCAGAGGAUGCUUUUGGUGCGGUGCCUUCCGAGUUCCCUGGAACGGGACGCCUUAGAGGGUGAGAGCCCCGUACGGUUGGCCACCAAGCCUGUGUAAAGCUCCUUCGACGAGUCGAGUAGUUUGGGAAUGCUGCUCUAAAUGGGAGGUAUAUUUCUUCUAAAGCUAAAUACCGGCCAGAGACCGAUAGCGCACAAGUAGAGUGAUCGAAAGAUGAAAAGCACUUUGAAAAGAGGGUUAAAUAGCACGUGAAAUUGUUGAAAGGGAAGGGUUUAUCACCAGACUUUUUUCAGGGGGAUCAUCCGGUGUUCUCACCGGUGCACUUCCCCUGGAGGAGGCCAGCAUCGGUUUUCGUAGGGGGAGAAAAGCUUCGGGAAUGUGACUCCUCCGGGAGUGUUAUAGCCCGUUGCAUAAUACCCUUACGGGGACCGAGGUCUGCGCAUUGCAAGGAUGCUGGCGUAAUGGUGAUUAGCCACCCGUCUUGAAACACGGACCAAGGAGUCGAACAUUUGUGCGAGUGUUUGGGUGUUAAACCCUCACGCGUAAUGAAAGUGAACGGAGGUGAGAGCCCUUCGGGGUGCAUCAUCGACCGAUCCUGAUGUCUUCGGAUGGAUUUGAGUAAGAGCAUAACUGUUCGGACCCGAAAGAUGGUGAACUAUGCGUGGAUAGGGUGAAGCCAGAGGAAACUCUGGUGGAGGCUCGCAGCGGUUCUGACGUGCAAAUCGAUCGUCAAAUCUGCGCAUGGGGGCGAAAGACUAAUCGAACCAUCUAGUAGCUGG
rnacentral:rRNA from 1 species